AUUGAACGCUGGCGGCGUGCUUAACACAUGCAAGUCGAGCGGUAACAGGCGUAGCAAUACGUGCUGACGAGCGGCGAACGGGUGCGUAAUACAUGGGAAUCUGCCCUUUGGUGGGGAAUAACCCGGCGAAAGCCGGGCUAAUGCCGCAUGAGAUCUUUGGAUGAAAGCGGGGGAUCGUAAGACCUCGCGCCGAUGGAUGAGCCCAUGUCGGAUUAGCUUGUUGGUGAGGUAACGGCUCACCAAGGCGACGAUCCGUAGCUGGUCUGAGAGGACGGCCAGCCACACUGGGACUGAGACACGGCCCAGACUCCUACGGGAGGCAGCAGUGGGGAAUAUUGGACAAUGGGCGAAAGCCUGAUCCAGCGACGCCGCGUGUGUGAAGAAGGCCUGCGGGUUGUAAAGCACUUUCGAUGGGAACGAAAUGUGCCGGGUUAAUACCCCGGCAAGCUGACGUUACUCAAUGAAGAAGCACCGGCUAACCCUGUGCCAGCAGCCGCGGUAAUACAGAGGGUGCGAGCGUUAAUCGGAAUUACUGGGCGUAAAGCGCACGUAGGUGGCGACGUAAGUCGGGUGUGAAAGCCCCGGGCUCAACCUGGGAAUUGCAUUCGAGACUGUGUUGCUGGAGUACGGAAGAGGAGGGCGGAAUUCC
rnacentral:rRNA from 1 species